UAUGACAAUUUUGCAAAAAAAUAUCUGCACUCCUCUCCACAUUUACAUAUAAGUCCUUUCCUCGUUCAUCAAUAUUCUGUGUAACGCAUGGGCAUCCUGCUAGUAAAGAUAAACUACACAAUAUCGAGCUGCCUUCCGGGCCACCUUUCUUCGCAGCAUGGCGCAGGUUCUGCGUUAUUCUGCUCCCAUUCUGGAUCGGGCUGCAUCUGGCAACUCGAAGAGUUGGGCUACAAUCAUCAGCCUGCACAAGCACAACGCAGAGCAUGGCGAGCGCCCUCCAAAAAAAAAACACGGCGACCGACGCCCCCAUGCGACGGCGCCGUCGGAAAGGAGACGUAGCCGGCGGCCUUACUGCCUUCACCGUCCUCCUCCGUGGAUGUCCAUAUCCGUUGAGCCCACUUCUCCCCCCCAGCCCCCCAGAGUCCCAGUCUAGGAGACGGCUGCCACAACCCCCGUCGGCGUGCGUGGUACGACUGUGACGUCAAGGGCCGUGGAGAGCGACGUCCCAUAGACGGCGCAGUGUACUGCCGUGGCGGUGGAGGAUGGCAGGGACGUGCAGUCUAUGGUUUGGGAGGCGAACUUGUGGUGCCUCACACGGAGCAGCUACCCAUGCAAGCCACCUGUUCGACAGAGUGCCAGAGCAAAGGAAUAUACGGCCAGCCUAACAGUUCGACAGUCUGAGACUGAGAAGCCUGGAGCCCAGGACUAAGGCAAGGAGCCAAGAACACGGGUUUUGAUCUCUAGUCAUUUAUCUGAAACGCUAGUUAAAGAAACUGAAAAUCGUAAUUGUUAUGAUGAAAGUACAGUUCCGUACACAGCUCUACCAUUUAUGUAUGUUCCUUUCAUUUUAGGUAAGUCAUCUUGACUAUAGUGUACUUUUUCUUUUAGCAAGACUAUAUUGUACUUUGCUAACACGCAGAAUUCUUAUUAAGUUCCAAAGCAAUAUAACAGUAACUUUAAGUUGGCUAA